rnacentral:rRNA from 1 species
GACGAACGCUGGCGGCGUGCUUAACACAUGCAAGUCGUACGGUAAGGCCCUUUCGGGGGUACACGAGUGGCGAACGGGUGAGUAACACGUGCGUAACCUGCCCACAACUUUGGGAUAACGCUAGGAAACUGGUGCUAAUACUGGAUAUGUGCUCCUGCUGCAUGGUGGGGGUUGGAAAGCUCCGGCGGUUGUGGAUGGACUCGCGGCCUAUCAGCUUGCUGGUGGGGUAGUGGCCUACCAAGGCGGCGACGGGUAGCCGGCCUGAGAGGGUGACCGGCCACAUUGGGACUGAGAGACGGCCCAGACUCCUACGGGAGGCAGCAGUGGGGAAUAUUGCACGAUGGGCGCAAGCCGGAUGCAGCAACGCCGCGUGCGGGAUGACGGCCUUCGGGUUGUAAACCGCUUUCAGCAGGGACGAAGCUUUUUGUGACGGUACCUGCAGAAGAAGCACCGGCUAACUACGUG